GUUCGCCAACGAAAGCCUGUGUGCUAGAGUCUGUCUUUAAUGGCAGGCGACCGUUGAUUGAUGCUGGGAGAAGAUUUCAUUGGAGCUCAACCAGCAGCCGUUAUGCCCGAUCUCGGCUCACAGAUCAUCUUCAGGCGGUCUCCCCUCCCCGAGGGAUUAAGAUAUGACCGGUCCCACCUUGUAACGGGUGGAAGGCGUGUUCCCGUAGUGGAACCUGCGGAAGGAUCAUUA
rnacentral:rRNA from 1 species